AAUGAACGUUGGCGGCGUGGAUUAGGCAUGCAAGUCGCGCGUGUACCAGCAAUGGGAAAGCGGCGAAAGGGACAGUAAUGUGUAGAUACCUGCCCUCGGGACCGGGAUAGCUGCGGGAAACUGCAGGUAAUACCGGAUGACGUCUCCGGACCAAAGGUGUGAUUCCGCCGGAGGAUGGGUCUACAUCCUAUUAGCUAGUUGGUGAGGUAAUGGCUCACCAAGGCCACGAUGGGUAGCAGGUGUGAGAGCACGACCUGCGUCAUUGGGACUGAGACACUGCCCAGACACCUACGGGUGGCUGCAGUCGAGAAUCUUCGGCAAUGGGCGAAAGCCUGACCGAGCGACGCCGCGUGCGGGAUGAAGGCCUUCGGGUUGUAAACCGCUGUCAGUGGGGAGGAAGGCUCCGUGCAGAGCGGGGUUUGACCUAUCCGCAGAGGAAGCAAGGGCUAAGUUCGUGCCAGCCGCCGCAGUAAAAC
rnacentral:rRNA from 1 species